rnacentral:rRNA from 1 species
CUUUCUUUGCUGGCGACCGGCGCACGGGUGAGUAACACGUAUCCAACCUGCCCUUUACUCGGGGAUAGCCUUUCGAAAGAAAGAUUAAUACCCGAUAGCAUAAUGAUCCGCAUGGUUUCAUUAUUAAAGGAUUCCGGUAAAGGAUGGGGAUGCGUUCCAUUAGGUUGUUGGUGAGGUAACGGCCCACCAAGCCUUCGAUGGAUAGGGGUUCUGAGAGGAAGGUCCCCCACAUUGGAACUGAGACACGGUCCAA